rnacentral:rRNA from 1 species
GACGAACGCUGGCGGCGUGCCUAACACAUGCAAGUCGAGCGAGAGACUUCGGUCUCUAGCGGCGGACGGGUGAGUAACACGUGGGUAACCUGCCUCAUAGUGGGGGAUAGCCUUCCGAAAGGAAGAUUAAUGCCGCAUAUACUCUCGAUACCACAUGGUAUUUAGAGGAAAGGAGCAAUUCGCUAUGAGAUGGACCCGCGGCGCAUUAGCUAGUUGGUGAGGUAACGGCUCACCAAGGCGACGAUGCGUAGCCGACCUGAGAGGGUGAUCGGCCACAUUGGAACUGAGACACGGUCCAGACUCCUACGGGAGGCAGCAGUGGGGAAUAUUGCACAAUGGGCGAAAGCCUGAUGCGGCAACGCCGCGUGAGUGAUGACGGCCUUCGGGUUGUAAAGCUCUGUCUUUUGGGACGAUAAUGACGGUACCAAAGGAGGAAGCCACGGCUAACUACGUGCCAGCCGCCGCCGUAA